UACGUAGGGUGCGAGCGUUGUCCGGAAUUAUUGGGCGUAAAGAGCUUGUAGGCGGUUUGUCGCGUCUGCUGUGAAAAUCCGGGGCUCAACCCCGGGCUUGCAGUGGGUACGGGCAGACUAGAGUGUGGUAGGGGAGACUGGAAUUCCUGGUGUAGCGGUGAAAUGCGCAGAUAUCAGGAGGAACACCGAUGGCGAAGGCGGGUCUCUGGGCCGAUACUGACGCUGAGGAGCGAAAGCGUGGGGAGCGAACAGG
rnacentral:rRNA from 1 species